rnacentral:rRNA from 1 species
GAUGAACGCUGGCGGCGUGCCUAAUACAUGCAAGUCGAGCGAACAGAUCAGGAUCUUGCUCCUCGGACGUUAGCGGCGGACGGGUGAGUAACACGUGUAUAACCUACCUAUAUUACUGGUAAAACUUCGGGAAACCGGAGCUAAUACCGUAGAAUAUAUUGAACCGCAGUGUUCAAUAGUGAAAGACGGUUGUGCUGUCACUUAUAGAGGGAUCCGGGCCGCAUUAGCUAGUUGGUAAGUUAACGGCUUACCAAGGCUACGAUGCGUAGCCGACCUGAUAGGCUGGUAGGCCACCCUGGAACGGAGCCAGCGUCAAGAGGCCUACGGUAGGCAGCAGUCGGGAAUCUUACGCAACAGGCGAAAGCAUGGCGGAGCAACGCGGAGUGAGUGAUGAAGGUCUUCGGAGCGUAAAACUCUGUUAUUAGGGAAGAACAACUGUGUAAGUAACUAUGGCCGUAUUGACGGUACCGAAUAAGAAAGCACCGGCUAACUACGUG